GUGAAAUUGUUGAAAGGGAAACGAUUGAAGCCAGUCGUACCUGCGGGUAAUCAGCCUUUUGGGUGUGAUUAUGUGGAGCGUGAGGAGCUAAACACCCUCAUCUUUGCAUAUUCGUGCACUUUGGGUGUACUUGCUCGUGUGGUAGGUUAACAUCAAUUUUGAUCGUCAUAAAAUGGCUAGAGGAAUGUAGCUUCGAUCCCGUAUUGAAGUGUUAUAGCCUUUGGUAGAUGUGGUGAUGGAGACUGAGGAUUGCAACGAAUACCCUUCGGGCUAUCCGUCUGACCUCUGAAAGUUGCUUAGGUGCCGAAAGCGUGCUUACGGUCAUUUAACGCGACGGUCAAAAGGUUAGAACGUGAUUACAUUCGUUAAGGAUGUUGACGUAAUGGCUUUAAACGAC
rnacentral:rRNA from 1 species